UAAAUUGACUGAUUUUACGGAAUUAUUGAUUGAAAAUGUAAAAACGUAUCAUGUUUUAUUUGAUUUAUCCCAUCCAGAUUACAAAAAUGUGCGUAUAAAGAACAAAAUAUGGGACGAAAUCGCAAAGAAUAUGGGAUUAAAACACACAGGUAACGAUCUAAAAAAACGUUGGAAAAAUCUAAGAGAUUGUUACUCAAAAUAUCUCCGCACCGAAUAGGCAAAAACUGGACAAGCUGCUAAAUCUAUCUACCGCUACAAAACCUGGCCUUGGGCGCAACAGAUGGAAGUUUUCAGACCUUUUUCACAAUUUGCUCAGACUGUAUAAUGUAACUGACGAAACAGAAACUCAUGAGUUUGCAAGCGCAGAAUGCGAAGAAUGUAGUGAUACAAACAAAGAUUUACAAAGUGAAAGUAUACUAGGAAGUGAAGCUAAUCAUCGAAAAAUAUCAAAAAAAUUCAUUUAAACGAAAUCAAGAAAAAAAGAGAAAAUCAAUGGAAGACUCGACAUCCAACCCACAAGCUUCAUCUGUUAAUAAAGUGAUCAAAUUCCUAGAUGAGAGACACAUUGCAAAUCAGAAAACUAACAUUACAGAUGAAAUUGAUAUAACAUUUCAAGGGUACGCAGUAAGUGUAAAAAAGUUGUCGACGGAAGAACACAUAAUGGUCAAAUACAAAGUUGCCAAAAUAAUAAUGGAACAAGAAUUAAGUGAAAUCUGGAUGCAAGGACAAAACUAACCAAGCAAUAGUUCCUCUUUUAAUUCCAUGGAAGUAUCAAACACGCCAAACUCCCCCCCACAGCGUUCAUAUUUGACAAACAGUUGUACUGCUCAGGAAGUCUCUGAAGAAAGUCCUACAACAACCUGGUAUGAGGAAUUCUGUACGAACAAUAUUGACUAAUUAAUUAUUAAGUAUUUUUUAUUACUAUGUAAUCUAGCUGUUGUAAAAAACUUUAAUAAAAAAUAAGAAUAAAAUAUAAA